CUCCUGAUAUGGCGAGACUCCGCGCUCCUCGCCACUCACGGGGCAGGCGCUGAGGAAGGAACUGUCAGGCACCGCGGGGACGCCUUUCCGAGCGCCCGGCUCGGCGCGGCGCGGGGGCGCGCACGCCGCCCAGCUUCGGGGCCGCAGAGGGGGCGGGGCGGGACGUCCGGGGAGUGCGCACGCAUCCUGCCCGCGGCGCGCGCGCAGGUCGGUGCGUCGGUCGGGGGCGCGCUCGGGUACCUGUACCCCACGUAGUCGCCGGUUACCGAUCGGACUAAGUUCCAGUGGUGAUUUACAAGUCAAGUUAAAAUGUCCCCAGAAGUGGCCUUGAACCGAAUAUCUCCAAUGCUCUCCCCUUUCAUAUCUAGCGUGGUCCGGAAUGGAAAAGUGGGACUGGAUGCUACAAACUGUUUGAGGAUAACUGACUUAAAAUCUGGCUGCACAUCAUUGACUCCUGGGCCCAACUGUGACCGAUUUAAACUGCACAUACCAUAUGCUGGGGAGACAUUAAAGUGGGAUAUCAUUUUCAAUGCCCAAUACCCAGAACUGCCUCCCGAUUUUAUCUUUGGAGAAGAUGCUGAAUUCCUGCCAGACCCCUCAGCUUUGCAGAAUCUUGCCUCCUGGAAUCCUUCAAAUCCUGAAUGUCUCUUACUUGUGGUGAAGGAACUUGUGCAACAAUAUCACCAAUUCCAAUGUAGCCGCCUCCGGGAGAGCUCCCGCCUCAUGUUUGAAUACCAGACAUUACUGGAGGAGCCACAGUAUGGAGAGAACAUGGAAAUUUAUGCUGGGAAAAAAAACAACUGGACUGGUGAAUUUUCAGCUCGUUUCCUUUUGAAGUUGCCCGUGGAUUUCAGCAAUAUCCCUACAUACCUUCUCAAGGAUGUAAAUGAAGACCCUGGAGAAGAUGUGGCCCUCCUCUCUGUUAGUUUUGAGGACACUGAAGCCACCCAGGUGUACCCCAAGCUGUACUUGUCACCUCGAAUUGAGCAUGCACUUGGAGGCUCCUCAGCUCUUCAUAUCCCAGCUUUUCCAGGAGGAGGAUGUCUCAUUGAUUACGUUCCUCAAGUAUGCCACCUGCUCACCAACAAGGUGCAGUACGUGAUUCAAGGGUAUCACAAAAGAAGAGAGUAUAUUGCUGCUUUUCUCAGUCACUUUGGCACAGGUGUCGUGGAAUAUGAUGCAGAAGGCUUUACAAAACUCACUCUGCUGCUGAUGUGGAAAGAUUUUUGUUUUCUUGUACACAUUGACCUGCCUCUGUUUUUUCCUCGAGACCAGCCAACUCUCACAUUUCAGUCCGUUUAUCACUUUACCAACAGUGGACAGCUUUACUCCCAGGCCCAAAAAAAUUAUCCGUACAGCCCCAGAUGGGAUGGAAAUGAAAUGGCCAAAAGAGCAAAAAGAGAGAGCAACAGAGAUGGGGAGGAAUCCAGCUCUGCCUGACAUCCAGGCAUCCUCUCCAAAUUGCAUAGCCAGCUGGCCCUCCCUUCUCCUCCUCCUUCUCAUCUGCUGCACCAGGGGAUGCCAAGGGAGCAGAGAUGCCUGCAGCCCAUGGGAGCAAGUCCUGGCCUUUGCAGUUGCAAAAACUGGCUGCAAGCUGCUCCAGCCCCAGAGGAACUGGCCAAGCUCCAGAGGGCCUCCUUGGAGGCCCUCAGAGGGAGAGAGAACUGCUCAGUAAUUUUGAUCACUUUGGGCUUAUUUCAAAACCUUUGUCCCUCAGUUCCAGGAGGCAGCAUUUGCCAAUGGAAAGCUCUAGGAAACACCAGUCUUGAGAGGUGGCCAGCCAGACUGCCUGUCCACAUGCGUGUCAGCACAUACAGCCGCUUCCUGGAAGCCGCCUGGAAUGUCUUCACGGCAGCGUUUUGCUCACACAGCAGCUUUUGCACGCCCCAGGCAGCCCCGACUGCUGAAAUCCAACUUGAGCUGGCUGGUGGUCCCUGGAUCCUAGAGCCCUUCACUUCGGGUUACUCCCUCUUUCUUGCCUCUAUUUCUUAGUUGGAAGAAAUAAACUCACAAAUUAUGGUGCAGUAAUUUUCCGGGGAAAGUAAAGCGUCAGGAAUGCCCACGCCUUUCUUCCAAAGCCUUUGUCUCUGAGACCUCUUAAGUUCUAAGAUUAAAUGCCCCUCGCUGUUUUUCCUCUGAAA